rnacentral:rRNA from 1 species
AGUGAACGCUGGCGGUAGGCCUAACACAUGCAAGUCGAACGGCAGCACAGUAAGAGCUUGCUCUUACGGGUGGCGAGUGGCGGACGGGUGAGGAAUACAUCGGAAUCUACUUUUUCGUGGGGGAUAACGUAGGGAAACUUACGCUAAUACCGCAUAAGACCUACGGGUGAAAGCAGGGGAUCUUCGGACCUUGCGCGAUUGAAUGAGCCGAUGUCGUAUUAGCUAGUUGGCGGGGUAAAGGCCCACCAAGGCGACGAUCCGUAGCUGGUCUGAGAGGAUGAUCAGCCACACUGGAACUGAGACACGGUCCAGACUCCUACGGGAGGCAGCAGUGGGGAAUAUUGGACAAUGGGCGCAAGCCUAAUCCAGCCAUACCGCGUGGGUGAAGAAGGCCUUCGGGUUGUAAAGCCCUUUUGUUGGGAAAGAAAAGCAGCAGGUUAAUACCCCGCUGUUCUGACGGUACCCAAAGAAUAAGCACCGGCUAACUUCGUG